UACAAGGUCUAAGCCCAGUGCCAAAGGAGGAAUUUAAAAGUUUAAAAGUAUUGUUUACAUACAUUUAUUUCAGCUAAUUUGUGGUGCAGGAGGGAAACCAGUGACCCCAUCGUCAGAUGAUUUGCGUUCACAUUCUCUCUCUGAUAACACCUCAGUUACUUUGCUCCUGGGCUUUGGUUUGCUCAUCUAUAAAAUGGGAAGAUUGGACCCCUGAAAGACUUUCCAGCACUACCUCCAUGAUUUAAUGAUGAUACAAUUGUAAAUGAUUAUUUCUUUUAAAAUUUGCUUUUUAGGCGAACAUUCUUUAAUGAUAAUAAUAAUGAUUAUAACUAGCAUAUAUGUAGCCCUUUAUGGUUUGCAAAGUCCUUUACAUAUGUUAUCUCAUUUGAUACCCACAGAAAGGUACUGUUAUCAUCUCCAUUUUCCAGAUGAGGAAACUGAGACCAAGAAAUGUUUCUGUUUUUCCUUUUGUAUCUCUAGCUCUGAACAACAUGCCUGGUGCUCAGUUAAUAAACAUUCAUUAAAGACCUACUGUGGACUGGAUGGUGUGCCAGGCACUGGAGAUAGAAAGACAAAAAUGGGAACAAACCCCUGCCCUCAACAAGGGCAAUUGUAUUGUAUGGUAAGUCUGCAUUUUGAUGUCUAUCUGCAAUGGUGUUGUCCAUUUUCCAACUGGAGGCUACCAAGGAACAAAGAUACUCUGGACUGA
rnacentral:lncRNA from 1 species